UACGAAGGGGGCUAGCGUUGCUCGGAAUCACUGGGCGUAAAGCGCACGUAGGCGGAUCUUUAAGUCAGGGGUGAAAUCCCAAGGCUCAACCUUGGAACUGCCUUUGAUACUGGGGAUCUCGAGUCCGGAAGAGGUUGGUGGAACUCCGAGUGUAGAGGUGAAAUUCGUAGAUAUUCGGAAGAACACCAGUGGCGAAGGCGACUCACUGGACAGGUAUUGACGCUGAGGUGCGAAAGCGUGGGGAGCAAACAGGGAUUAAGAAACCCC
rnacentral:rRNA from 1 species